GACGGGGACCCGCACAAGCAGUGGAGCAUGUGGUUUAAUUAGAAGCAACGCGAAGAACCUUACCAGGUCUUGACAUGGAGAUGACCGGCUGGUAACGCAGCCUUUCCUUCGGGACAUCUCACACAGGUGGUGCAUGGUUGUCGUCAGCUCGUGUCGUGAGAUGUUGGGUUAAGUCCCGCAACGAGCGCAACCCUUAUUGCCAGUAGCCAGCAGGUGAAGCUGGGCACUCUGGCGAGACUGCCCGGGAUAACCGGGAGGAAGGUGGGGAUGACGUCAAAUCAUCAUGCCCCUUAUGAUCUGGGCAACACACGUGCUACAAUGGCGUAAACAGAGAGAAGCGAACCUGCGAGGGGGAGCAAAUCUUCAAAUAACGUCUCAGUUCGGACUGUAGUCUGCAACCCGACUACACGAAGCUGGAAUUGCUAGUAAUCCGCGAAUCAUGCAUGUCGCGGUGAAUACGUUCCCGGGUCUUGUACACACCGCCCGUCACACCAUGGGAGUCAGCAACGCCCGAAGUCAGUGACCCAACCAAUCGGAGGGAGCUGCCGAAGGCGGGGCGGAUAACUGGGGUGAAGUCGUAACAAGGUAGCCAGAUCGGAA
rnacentral:rRNA from 1 species